rnacentral:rRNA from 1 species
CAUCGAGACUCCUACGGGAGGCAGCAGUGAGGAAUAUUGGUCAAUGGAGGGAACUCUGAACCAGCCAUCCCGCGUGUAGGAAGACGGCCUUUAUGGGUUGUAAACUACUUUUAUACAGGAAGAAACGUACCCUCGUGAGGGUGCCUGACGGUACUGUAGGAAUAAGCACCGGCUAACUCCGUGCCAGCAGCCGCGGUAAUACGGAGGGUGCGAGCGUUAUCCGGAUUUAUUGGGUUUAAAGGGUCCGUAGGCGGAUUAAUAAGUCAGUGGUGAAAUCCCAUCGCUUAACGAUGGAACUGCCAUUGAUACUGUUAGUCUUGAAUGAGGGUGCAGUGGUUGGAAUGUGUAGUGUAGCGGUGAAAUGCAUAGAUAUUACACAGAACACCGAUUGCGAAGGCAGAUCACUAACCCUAAAUUGACGCUGAGGGACGAAAGCGUGGGGAGCGAACAGGAUUAGAUACCCUGGUAA